rnacentral:lncRNA from 1 species
AAUCCUAAACCCUAAAUUCUAAUCCCUAAACCCUUAAUCCUAAACCCUAAACUAUUGGAUAAACCCUAAACUCUAGGAUAAAUUCUAAACUCUAAAUCAAAAUCACUAUACAUUAAAACAUUCAAGGGUUUAGGGUUUAGGGUUUUUUUAUUUAGAGUUUAAGAUUUAUCCAAGGGUUUACGGUUUACCCAAGGGUUUAGAGUUUACCCAAGGGUUUAGGGUUUAGGAUUUAGGGUUUAGGGAUUAGGAUUUAGAGUUUAGUGUUUUGUUGACAACGUUAAAAAUAUUUUUUUUUUUAAUUUUUUUUUCUGUAACUUUUAUCUUUUUUUAUUUUUUUUUAAUUUUAAAAACAUAAUAUAAUUUGAGAAUAUUUUGUUUCCUUUUUUAAAAGAUAUCGAAUUUGAAAUAAUGAAAUCCUAUUGGUUGGUGAACAUAGAGGUUCACCCUAGGGGGUGAACCCAAGAAUAACUCAUUUUAUAUAGAGUCGAACCCGAAAUUUUCGUCAUAGUACUACUACGAAGGGCUAAAAUUUUCAAGAUGUAUUCUUGGAUUCACCCCUUAGGGUGAACUUCUAGGUUCACCAACUAAUAGGAUUUCAUUAUUUCAAAUUUGAUAUCUUUUAGAAAAGGAGUUAUUCUUGGGUUCACCAACC